AGGCAGCAGUGGGGAAUUUUGGACAAUGGGGGCAACCCUGAUCCAGCCAUCCCGCGUGUGCGAUGAAGGCCUUCGGGUUGUAAAGCACUUUUGGCAGGAAAGAAACGGCGCCGGCUAAUACCUGGCGUAACUGACGGUACCUGCAGAAUAAGCACCGGCUAACUACGUGCCAGCAGCCGCGGUAAUACGUAGGGUGCAAGCGUUAAUCGGAAUUACUGGGCGUAAAGCGUGCGCAGGCGGUUCGGAAAGAAAGAUGUGAAAUCCCAGGGCUUAACCUUGGAACUGCAUUUUUAACUACCGGGCUAGAGUGUGUCAGAGGGGGGUGGAAUUCCACGUGUAGCAGUGAAAUGCGUAGAUAUGUGGAGGAACACCGAUGGCGAAGGCAGCCCCCUGGGAUAAC
rnacentral:rRNA from 1 species